rnacentral:tRNA from 1 species
UCGGCCGGGUGCACGAAUGGUUCGAGCGCCGCCCUGACGCGGCGGUACACGCGGUGACGGAGAUGUUCGGCGGCGUCUCCGUCCGGU